AAAACCAAGCGGAUGCUUCACAUUUGUACAUCCGGUGAAAUAUCUGUCUCAUUGUUGUAUUUGUGGUUGGAGUGCCCGGAUUGAAGUGAAACAACGUUGCAACUCAGAUAGUAUUGGGUCGAGUGAUACACUAACUCAUUUGAGAAUUUAGACUAAGGUUCCAACGUUUGAAUAUCAACAAGGAUAUUUUGUUGCACCAUUAUAUAAAAUGGGACGAAAGGUUGGUUAUAUUAGUUACGUGCACAGUGAUACAACGGGCACUAGAUUUUGACGGAAACUUUGGAGAGAAUACAAAGAAGUCCGAAUAAAAAAAUAAAUUAAUUGAAGAUGCAUUGUCCAUUUAACUUAAAUUGUAGUGGGCUCAUAUACAGGGCUGUUUUUUUAAUUUAUUUUUUUUACCCCUUUUUCUCCCCAAUUUCGUGGUAUCCAAUUGUUGUAGUAGCUACUAUCUUGUCUCAUCGCUACAACUCUCGUACGGGCUCGGGAGAGACGAAGGUUGAAAGUCAUGCGUCCUCCGAUACACAACCCAACCAAGCCGCACUGCUUCUUAACACAAGUGCGCAUCCAACCCGGAAGCCAGCCGCACCAAUGCGCCGGAGGAAACACCAUGCACCUGGCCACCUUGGCUAACGCACACUGCGCCCGGCCCGCCACAGGAGUCGCUGGUGCGCGAUGAGACAAGGACACCCCUACCGACCAAGCCCUCCCUAACCCAGGCGACGCUAGGCCAAUUGUGCGUCGCCCCACAGGGCUGUUUUUAAAGGUAUCGUGAAAGCCAAGUCUCAGGGGAAAAAUACAGAUUGGGACCAGAACUGAAAAUAUGUGGGUAUGGCUGUGCAGACCACUUCUACGAGUCAGACACCCUGCUGCACUGUUUCUAGCUACUCAGGAAGCUGCUAGGGUCACCUGUCACCCAGGACAUCAUCUGACAAGCACUUCAGCUAUGUUGUGGCUCUCUUUGCCCCCUGGACUAUUACACCGCACUAAACAGUGUAUGUUGCUGUUUAGUGUGUAUGUUGCUGUGGCUUAUGUUCAUUAUAAGUCUUGGAAACCGGGAGUUAUGUUGGUUUUCACCAUGGAAUAAACUCAGACAUGUGGAGGAGUACUUCCUGCCCAGGAUGAUCCAGGAUGUGACAGGACAGGACACUGUCCCCUUUGUUGACUGCGUCCUCUCAACCAAAGACACCUGCAUCGGGAGUGAGGUCUGUGCUGAACUGUGGAACCCUAGGAGGCACAUUCAAUUAAGAGCCUCAAACGAAGGUCUUUUCUUUUCAAACCUUACUCAAUUUCUGUAAUGAGUUGUGUACUACUGUGUGCCGUCAGUCAUUUGUGUAAUGGAUUGAAAGAGAGCUCAAAUGUUUUUUGAGAGAUUAAGUGAGAUUGCUUAUGUGAAUAAAUAUAUAUAGUAUACAGUUUUUCUAGUAAGCUACAGUAUGUAAUGAAGUAUGUGGGAAUGCCAUGUGCUUGGCAGCCCCCAUGUGGACAUGGGUCUGGACGGUGUGGAGAUCUUCACCAACUCCUCAGCCAGCUAGCACGAGCUACGCAAGGCAGACCACAGAGUCAUCCUGGUUAAAUCAGCCACCAUGAAGGUGAUCGUACACACACGAACGGACGGACGGACACAUGCACAUGUUACAUCGCCCUCAAACUCAACUCUGGACCUCGAAGCCGGUUCCACUGCAUUUUUUUAUUGUUCCCCUCUAAUCAGGGACCGGUUUAGACCUGGGACAACAGGUGUGUGUGCAAUUAAUUAUGAGAUCGAGCAGAAAACCAGCGGGCUCCGGACCACGUAGGCUAAGGGUUGAGGAUCCCUGUUACACAGUAUGUUUAGUGAGAGUAGAGGUACUGCAUGUUGCCUGCCCAGUAACCACUUAGAGGUACUGUUUUGUCAUUAAAGCACGGCUCCAUUUCAUACAGUUUUUUGCCUACAUGUAUAUUUUGAUUAGUAUGAGUUUGGGUAACACUUAUCAUCACAUUGAUCCUAGACGUGUGUAAUAACACUGUAAUUACUACAUAACUACAUUGUUGUUUCAUGUUAUUUUGAGUUGUUAUUGCAUAGUAAUGAAGUUGGGCAGUUUCUAAUAUUACAAGUGGAAUAAGGACAAGUGUGUUGUUGUUUUGCACAGAGUGUGUGUGUGUGGGGGGGGUGUUUGCCAAUCAGAAGGGUUGUGAUGGAGACAGACUCUACUAUGAUGGUUGUGCCAUUGUGGCCAUCAACGAGGACAUAGUGGCCCAGGGACGACUUGGUAAAGACAGGCAAAACAUAACGGAAAGCAAAUGUGAGAAGAAUAUCUUGCAGCCUAUUCUUUCACCCUCACUUCACACACCCGCUGUGAGCUGUGCUUGAUUACAUGGCAUGCCAUGUCUGCAUGUCGUGUAAUGUUAUUGUUAAUGUUAGCCAGAUCCCAAAGGGAACUCUUGGACAAUGUGUAACCUGUGUGUGUGUUGCAGGAGGUUGUGUCACUCUGGGUCUGGAGGAUGUCCACAGCUACAGAGGAGAGCAUUGCCACCCAAACGUGGAGUAUGAGCACAAGCCGUGCCAUCGAGUCAAAGUGGACUUCUCCUGGUCUGAUUGUGAAGAUGUCUACCUCCCCACUCGCCAGCCCAUUGAGUGACAGAUCCACACCCCUGAGGAAGAGAUUCGGCAUGGCACCCCCUGACAAAGACUGUGAUCACAAGUGUUGUGUGGCUAAAAUGCUGCCCAAAAUAAAUAGUAGCUAUUUUUGACUGUCUCCCUGUAUUUUCUUUUUCACCAUGGAAUCAUUGGAAACAGACAGAGACAGCAGCUACUAUAUCGCCACACAGAGGAUUCCGAAGCAUGGAGUGUGACAUUCAUUUACCCUGACUGCUCCCUUUGUGUCUGAAAUUGAGCUGCCUGGCUUUGGUGGAGCCAAUCCCUGUCUGAGAGAAGUUAAAACUAAAAAGACACGUUUUAUUUAAAGCUACUUUCCAGAUCAUGUGACUGCCCACCUCCUUACAGUUUACAGUGUACACAUACAGACCCUUCCAUUCAUGUGACAAACAAGCACAGGCCUUCAUUCUAACAUGCAAUUUGACCCAUGUCAAAUACAUGCACAUGCAUGUCUCUGUGU